rnacentral:rRNA from 1 species
GACGAACGCUGGCGGCGUGCCUAAUACAUGCAAGUAGAACGCACAGUUUAUACCGUAGCUUGCUACACCAGAGACUGUGAGGUGCGAACGGGGUAGUAACGCGUAGGUAACCUGCCUGGUAGCGUGGGAUAACUAUGGGAAACGAUAGCUAAUACCGCAUAAUAUUGAGUAUUGCAUGAUAAUUAAUGGAAAUGGGCAAUUGCACCACUACCAGAUGGAUCUGCGUUGUAUUAGCUAGUAGGUGAGGUAACGGCUCACCUAGGCGACGAUACAUAGCCGACAUGAGAGGGUGAUCGGCCACACUGGGACUGAGACACGGCCCAGACGCCUACGGGAGGCAGCCGUAGGGAAUCUUCGGCCAUGGACGAAAGUCUGACCGCGAAACGCCGCGGGCGUGAAGAAGAUCUUCGGAUCGUGAAGCUCUGUCGUAAGAGAAGAACGCGCGUGCGAGUGUAAAGUUCACAAUGUGACGGUAUCUUAUCAGAAAGAGCCGGCUAACUACGUG